GACGUAGGGCGCGAGCGUUGUCCGGAUUUAUUGGGCGUAAAGGGCUCGUAGGCGGUUUGUCGCGUCGGGAGUGAAAACCCAGGGCUUAACCCUGGGCUGGCUUCCGAUACGGGCAGACUAGAGGUAUGCAGGGGAGAACGGAAUUCCUGGUGUAGCGGUGAAAUGCGCAGAUAUCAGGAGGAACACCGGUGGCGAAGGCGGUUCUCUGGGCAUUACCUGACGCUGAGGAGCGAAAGUGUGGGGAGCGAACAGG
rnacentral:rRNA from 1 species